UUCUGUCCAGUACGCGAUUGUGCAUCUCGACUUCUUCAUGUAUAUCACCCGUCAAUCUCUUAAGAAUGUUCACUCUAUCUUGCAGCCCAUCAAUAGCUCUAUCAUUUUCAUGCUCAUCAAUUUCAUGAGAGGAAUAGUCUCGGAUGCCACCCUCCACAAGGCCAUCAAAAGAGCAGCUCUGUUGCUUCGAUAAUCUAUAAUCUCUAGCAAAUAAUCAAAAUCACCAUGAAAAGAAAGAUAUUGCUUAUGUGAAAGUAGAGUAAACGAAAUAUACAAUUCCAUCUCAGGAACAAAAUUUUUUAGCUGAGUAGAAAUACAUCGGAUCAUGUCUGCAAAGAGUCUGGAAACCUGUAUAUCACCAAUACUUUGACAGCAAAUUCAUCUAAAUACAGAUAAAAUUGCAAUUUUGAUUUUCAAGGAAUUCAGAUGAAUUAUACUGAUUACAUAUUGUCCCACUGAACCUUAAUGAUUGUAAAUGUUAAUUUGCCCAUAUAUUUUAGUUAGUACAGAUCAAAUUUAAAGCAAUUAGAUCAAUUUUAUAACCUCUAUAUUAAAAAAAAAAGUCCAAGUAUUUAAUUGACACUGUGUUUCAUUAAUAUCUACAUGCAUAUACACACAUUCAGGUAGAGAAAGAUAUAGAUAUCACUUUGUGACCCCCCCUUUUCCUUUCAUUCCCUACUUCUGCCACAAAUGAUCAUUGAAAUCGUAUUGAACUAAAAAAAAAAAAACUACAACAGGGAUGUCAAGCAUCAAAAAUAUGAUUAUGGUUUCUACAGUUUGGCUAUUUUGGUGGUUUUGGCUCCAUUUUUAGCAAUUUUGGUAAAAAAAAAUUAAAGAUCGACUAAAUCAGGAGAAAUAAAGAGGUUAAAAAAAAAGUUAGAGCUCAUUAUAAAGAAUUGUUUCAGACUUUCAGCUGUAUCAUUUUGGUGUUUUUGCAUUGAGACAGUGAAAAAGUAUCUUUUAAAAUUGUUAUAAAUAGCAUAUUUAUAUCACAAUAUAUAUGGACUAUCUAAAUGCAUAUGGAUGCAAUGCAAAAAGCUUUACCUUCUCCUAAAUCUUGCUAAAAUUUAAGGUAGCAGUAUUCCCAGAAUUUCCCAAAACCCACAAUAUAUCAGUUUACUUCACAACUUCAAAGUAAAAAUGCUUCCAAAAAAUUGAAAGAUAUGAAGAAAUGACAAAAAAUUGCCACAGAUAACUCACAUAUAAUGAAUGUGGCCCCACAAGUUAAUUGGUUCAAAACUCCAAGUGUAGCCAUGAUUUGAAUUUAUUCAGGGAUCAGAACAAAAUCAAAAUGUUUUCAUUUCAUUGUGGAGUUCCAACCAAAACUUUGAACCAUAAUGGAAAUAUGUAUGAUAUUCUACUAUUCCAAUACAGAAACAGGCAUGAUACCAAUACCUUAACCUUAUCUAUACCUUAAUGAAAGCUUCCAACAUUAUUUUUUUUAUUUUUCUAACUCACCACAUGCAACAUCCAACUUUGUUGCCCGCAUCAGGUUAGUCCAUUUGUCUUCAAAUUACAAAAUUUGGUGGUAUAAGAACCCAGAAGUUUAAAAUAGAGUUCUUUUACAAAAUCAAUAAGAGGGAAAAAAGAAGAAUAAAUGUUUAAAAGACUUUCACUGAGCAGAAAACUUAGCAAUUUAGCACUACUAUAAUUCAGAUUACAUAUUUAAAAUAUUUCACAAAAUAAAUCAAAUCAUCUAUAAAUAAUUAAAUAUCAAUAACUAGAAAAGACAUAGAAAUCUUGAUGUGUGAAUCCAAAAUCUCAACAAGGUCAAUGACUACCAAAUCCCGAUAAUUGCAAUUUGCAUUUGCGCAUUCGUGCACGCAUGCGAGAGAAAGAGAAAGAGAAAGAGAGAGAGAGAGAGAGAUUGGAGAUGAACCUUCGUGAAUUCAUGAACCCACUAGAUUCAGACCACAGAAAAUUUUGUUCCUUUUUUCCUCUCCUUUUCUCCUUUAAAAUUUUCUUAUAUUUUUGUCAUC
rnacentral:lncRNA from 1 species